rnacentral:tRNA from 1 species
GCGGGCGUGGCGGAAUUGGGAGACGCACUGGAUUUAGGUUCCAGCGGCGCCAGCUGUGGGGGAUCGAGCCCCUCCGCCCGCA